rnacentral:rRNA from 1 species
GACGAACGCUGGCGGCGUGCUUAACACAUGCAAGUCGAACGGAAAGGCCCUGCUGUUGUGGGGCGAUCGAGUGGCGAGCGGGUGAGAAACACGUGAGUAACCCGUGCUUGACUGUGGGAUAACGGCAAGAAACUGGAGAAAAGACCGGAAAGGAGUGCCGCCUGCAGGGUGUGGGAUGGAAAGUGUCGGCGGUUGGGGAGGGACGCGCGGCUUAUCUGCUUGUUGGGGGGGUGGUGGCCUACGACGGCUUUGGCGGGUGGCCGGCCUGGGAGGGGGACCGGCCACAUUGGGACUGAGAUACGGCCCGGACUCCUCCGGGGGGCGGCGGUGGGGAAAAUUGCCCAAUGGGGGGAAACCUGUGGCAGAAACGCCGCGUGCGGAAGAAGGGCCUUCGGGUAUUAAACCGUUUUCGCCUGUGAGGAGGUGUGAGUGACGGUACCGGGAGAAGAAGCACCGGCUAACUACGUG